AGAAGUGGCUGAGUGGUUAAAAGCGGUAGACUGUAAAUCUAUUGUUAAUUCUACGUAGGUUCGAAUCCUACCUUCUUC
rnacentral:tRNA from 1 species